rnacentral:sRNA from 1 species
AGGUAGGAGUAACAGUCCCUGACACCAUCACUGAGUGGAAGGCAGGGGCCUUCUGCCUGUCUGAAGAUGCUGGACUUGGUAUCUCUUCCACUGCCUCUCUCCGAGCCUUCCAGCCGUUCUUUGUGGAGCUCACAAUGCCUUACUCUGUGAUUCGUGGAGAGGCCUUCACACUCAAGGCCACAGUCCUAAACUACCUUCCCAAAUGCAUCUGGGUCAGUGUGCAGCUGGAAGCCUCUCCUGCCUUCCUAGCUGUCCCAGUGGAGAAGGAACAAGCGCCUCACUGCAUCUGUGCAAACGGGCGGCAAACUGUGUCCUGGGCAAUAACCCCAAAGUCAUUAGGAAAUGUGAAUUUCACUGUGAGCGCAGAGGCACUAGAGUCUCAAGAGCUGUGUGGGACUGAGGUGCCUUCAGUUCCUGAACACGGAAAGAAAGACACAGUCAUCAAGCCUCUGCUGAAAAGUGCUUUGCUAGAGUCCUGUUCUCAGAGCUCCACAGAAGACACGUGUUUUUGUAUCUUUAAAGACUUGAUGAAUAAACACUUUUUCUGGUCAAUGUCUUUCCCUGUUUCCUGUUCAUUCAAUAAAUAUCAUUGUACAUUUC